rnacentral:lncRNA from 1 species
AUUUAUUCUAUGUGUUAUUAUCGAAUCAGAAAAAAAAAAGGUUAAAUGGUAAAAAUUGUGUGAUGAAAUGAAUGAAUGAAAAGACAGCCUGAAUGGAUAUCUUAGGAGAUGGUGGACAGACUGGAGACAUAGAGAACCCUACCCUGAACGUUGUCUCAUAUCGGAUGGGGUAUGCAGACUUGAUAAUUUUACGUUCAUACUAGAUG